rnacentral:rRNA from 1 species
CCUACGGGAGACUGCAGUGGGGGAUAUUGCACAAUGGGGGAAACCCUGAUGCAGCAACGCCGCGUGUGGGAAGAAGGUUUUCGGAUUGUAAACCACUGUUCUUGGUGAAGAUAAUGACGGUAACCAAGGAGAAAGCUCCGGCUAACUACGUGCCAGCAGCCGCGGCAAUACGUAGGGAGCAAGCGUUGUCCGGAUUUACUGGGUGUAAAGGGUGCGUAGGCGGGCUUGCAAGUCAGACGUGAAAACCACAGGCUCAACCUGUGGACUGCGUUUGAAACUGUGGGGCUUGAGUGAAGUAGAGGUAGGCGGAAUUCGCGGUGUAGCGGUGAAAUGCGUAGAGAUCGGGAAGAACACCGAUGGCGAAGGCAGCCUACUAAGCUUUAACUGACGCUGAGGCACGAAAGCAUGGGUAGCAAACAGGAUGAGAUACCCCAGUAGUC